GGGGAAGUGACACCACCGGGUGGUGCCUCCUUCCACGCUUGGGAAAUAGCCCUCUCUGUCUUGGGAUCGGUGCUGCUCACGCUCGCACUGGUCCUUGCAGCCAUCUGUUACUUCAAAAGACACUCCCUGAAUUACACCACCAUUGAAAUGAAUGACCGCAGCCAGAUGGCAGCAGACUUCUAACUCUUCCAGGAAAAACUUCAUUGGCCAGAUCCGUUAUCCUAGGAGUGGGUGGGCGUGCAUCUCAUGGUGAAGUGGUGCACAAGCUCUGUUCUGCACCAGGACUGUUGCACAGACCCACUCUCCCGUCAGAAUGUCCCUUUAAAUUUAAAGUGCCUUGGUUAUUUUUAAAACAGACUCGUCUGCAGCAGAGUAAAAGAUUUAAGAAAUGGGCUCUGAGGAUUUCUUCUUGCCAGACAGAGAGCUUGGAAGGCCUGGAGCUGUGGCAGGAUGGCUGUGCCCGCUAUGAAUGGGGUGAAAUGGGAUCUUCUGCCUCUGCCCAGGGAAGAACUCAGAACCAGACAGCUGGGGCUCCCUGACCGUCUGCAGAUGUGCCGGGCUCCUCAGCCAGCUACAGCUCAAACACUCUCAGAGGCUUCAACAAGGGCCGGGAGCUACCGUAUUUCAUACUCAUCUGCUGCGCUCACACAACCCUGUCAGAAUUCUCACCCCGCGAUGCACCCGCCCGGCUCUGUGCAACAGUCCCACUCCACCUCCUGUGAUGUACCCCUCGGCCCCGCCCCAGGCCACCUUCGGUACCCCUC